rnacentral:rRNA from 1 species
UACGGAGGUGGCAAGCGUUGUUCGGAAUUACUGGGCGUAAAGGGCGCGUAGGCGGCGAGACAAGUCAGAUGUGAAAGCCCCGGGCUCAACCUGGGAAUUGCAUCUGAAACUGUAUUGCUUGAGUUCUGGAGGGGGUAGUGGAAUUCCCAGUGUAGCGGUGAAAUGCGUAGAUAUUGGGAGGAACACCUGCGGCGAAGGCGGCUACCUGGACAGUAACUGACGCUGAGGCGCGAAAGCUAGGGGAGCGAAC